rnacentral:rRNA from 1 species
UACGUAGGGUGCGAGCGUUGUCCGGAAUUACUGGGCGUAAAGAGCUCGUAGGUGGUUUGUCGCGUUGUCCGUGAAAACUCACAGCUCAACUGUGGGCGUGCGGGCGAUACGGGCAGACUGGAGUACUGCAGGGGAGACUGGAAUUCCUGGUGUAGCGGUGGAAUGCGCAGAUAUCAGGAGGAACACCGAUGGCGAAGGCAGAUCUCUGGGCCGUAACUGACGCUGAGGAGCGAAAGCGUGGGGAGCAAACAGG